CCGAUCCUAUUACACAUUUAUUCGUGUCCGCACGAUGACGUCGUUUGAUUUGAGCACACUCGGCGUGAUGGGCUAGUCCCUACCAUUUGAUUACUCGUCGAUGGGUCGCAAGACUUGUCCUCGAGAACGGUGAAGUUUGGGUUUCUAAGUGCUGCGUUGAGUUGGGGUUUUACCGUGCCAACAGAUGAUACCAGCCGGCUGCUUGCCGAUUCGUUGUGCGAGCGUAGGAUUGAAAAGCCCGAGCGGCUGCCCAGACGAACAUACAUUUUACAUUUAUUUUGUUGGAAAGAGCUU
rnacentral:misc_RNA from 1 species